CGUUUUCACUAGGGGUGCCUUUAAAAGGCUGAGAUUAGAGUGGACUCUGAGACCCUUGAACCUGACCUGGUUAGUGCCAGCGGAGGAAAGUGGACGUCAGCGUCA
rnacentral:ncRNA from 1 species